GCAUCUACCAUGUGAGAGCACAGAGAGAAAAUGCUAUCCAAUGGACCCUCGCCAGACACCAAAUCUGCCGGCACCUUGACCUUGGACUUAUCAGCCUACAGAAACAUGCAACACAGAAUAUACAGUUUGAUGUGAGAAAAAACAUGCAACACUUCUAAGGAAGUAAAAUUUAAAUGCAGAAUGAGCAUCUGAAAAAAAUUAUUAGUUUGACAGAUUCAGUACUUUUCUGCUAGCUGAAAUCAAGGACGGCAAGAAGCAGAGGACAUUUGACAGGAA
rnacentral:lncRNA from 1 species